UUCACGUCGAUCUCCUUCUCCUCUUCUCCGAUCUUUUUGUUUUCCCUCUUCCUUAUCUUCUCCUUCUCCGAUCCUUUCCCUCAUCUUGCCGCCGACUAUCACAGCCCAAUGUCGGGUGUCAAUCACCGUGCCACUCCAACUUGCGAGACGUCGACGCUGCCAGCAAUCAACGCCAUCGGCCAGGAGGGAUAUGUCGUCGCUGAGUCUCUCCCUCUCAUCCGAUUAUGCUGUAUUGCCCCAACCGAUCAUUGCCGACCAUCAUGGUCCGACGCCGGUCGCCAACCACCAUGGCCCUACCGCAAGACAUGCUGCUAGGCGUCGACUACCUCCACCGCAACCACUUCUAUGCCCUAGCUUUGACCAAUCGCCGAGAGGGUGGAGUUGGUGAAGGGGGUGAGGGCAAACUCUUCACCUCGCUUGCGGAUCCGAGCAGAGCAGCGAUGAUUCGAUCAGGGAGGCUCAUCACCUCCUCUUCAUCAGAUUUAUGGUGCCUUCUUCUUGCCGGCAUAGAUCUGUUACCGACCAUUUGAUCUCCUUUUCUAUCUUCCCUGAUGUAUCGUAAAGCCAUAGCUCCUUCAGCCAUUAUGAGAGGUUAGAUCCGACAGCGGCCAACCCUAAUCAGUGCUACUCCAGCCGCAGGGAACCACCAGAGAGGAAAAAGGGGAUUUGUGUUGAGAUCCACGGCUGCACUAUUAAGUCCGGCCAUGAAUCCUCGGUAGCAAGCUCCUCCGGCUGAGUCAACAUCGAAGUCUUUGGAUUUGGGUUAGCACAUAGAUAUGUCAUGUUGCUUAGAGUAUCCUGUCUGCCGAUCCCACGUCACAUCAGAAGACGGUUUACCUCACUCUUGAUUUCUUUUAUAUAAUUUUUAUUGAUUUAGCAUUAUAUUGGUGUUUAGCCUUGUGACUAUUUUAUUAUUUUUGGUGUUGUAUUUGUGUCUAAGCUGUGCCGACACAUUGUGUUGUUUUGGUUGUAUGAGCUUCUUGUUUGUUUU